CUAUGAUCAUCAAGAAAUAAAAGAUUAACAGUAUUCAAUAAAGAGUAUAAAAGUAAAAAGAAAAAAUAAUUAGAAACAAGACAAAAACUAGACAUUUCUACUCUAUUAAUUUCAAAAUCCAAACAUGAUUUCAAAUUAGGCAGGGGAUUAUCUAUAUGCCUGUCCAUCUAUUUCAUGUAAUAAAAUCGAUGAACAACAGCUUGUUUCCAGUUCUAUUGUCUAAUGGCACUGGGUAUCUGUAAUUUAAUAAUAGAAAAUUUC